rnacentral:rRNA from 1 species
AGUGAACGCUGGCGGCGUGCUUAACACAUGCAAGUCGAACGAGAACGGAAUAUAGCUUGCUAUAUUUGUCAGCUAAGUGGCGCACGGGUGAGUAAUAUAUAGAUAACCUGCCCUUAAGAAAGGAAUAACAGUUGGAAACGACUGCUAAUGCCCUAUAUGCCUUUAAUACAUAAGUAUGCAAGGGAAGCGCUUUAGUGCUUAAGGAUGGGUCUGUAUGGUAUCAGCUUGUUGGUGAGGUAAUGGCUCACCAAGGCUAUGACGCCUAACUGGUUUGAGAGGAUGAUCAGUCACACUGGAACGGAGACACGGUCCAGACUCCUACGGGAGGCAGCAGUGGGGAAUAUUGCACAAUGGACGAAAGUCUGAUGCAGCAACGCCGCGUGGAGGAUGACACAUUUCGGUGCGUAAACUCCUUUUAUAUAGGAAGAUAAUGACGGUACUAUAUGAAUAAGCACCGGCUAACUCCGUGCCAGCAGCCGCCGUAA